CAGGACGAACGCUGGCGGCGUGCCUAAUACAUGCAAGUCGAACGGUCUUUCUAUGGAAGCUUGCUCCACUGAGAAGAUAGUGGCGAACGGGUGAGUAACACGUGGGUAACCUGCCCAUAAGAGGGGGGAUAACAUCCGGAAACGGGUGCUAAUACCGCAUAGUUUUCUUGAUCGCAUGAUCGGGAAAGGAAAGACGGCCUUUGUGCUGUCGCUUAUGGAUGGACCCGCGGCGUAUUAGUUAGUUGGUGAGGUAAUGGCUCACCAAGACGAUGAUACGUAGCCGACCUGAGAGGGUGAUCGGCCACAUUGGGACUGAGACACGGCCCAAACUCCUACGGGAGGCAGCAGUAGGGAAUCUUCCGCAAUGGACGAAAGUCUGACGGAGCAACGCCGCGUGAGUGAAAGAAGGUUUUCGGAUCGUAAAACUCUGUUGUCAGAGAAGAACAAGUUGGAGAGUAACUGCUCCAGCCUUGACGGUAUCUGACCAGAAAGCCACGGCUAACUACGUGCCAGCCGCGGC
rnacentral:rRNA from 1 species